CAUUCGCAGAAGCAGAAUAUUAAUCCAUGGCAAUGACAACAUGUGAACUUAAAUGGUUGAAGGGACUUCUAUCCAGUCUUGGUGUAGCACAUAAUUCUCCCAUGCAACUUCACUGUGAUAGUCAAGCUGCAUUACAUAUAGUCAAGAAUCCAAUUUUUCAUGAACGAACAAAACACAUUAAAGUUGAUUGUCAUCUUAUUCGUGAUGCAAUUGUCAAUGGCAGCAUACAUCCUAGCUAUGUUCCCUCCCAUGCUCAACUCGCUGAUAUCUUUACCAAAGCUUUGGGCCAAGUGCAGUAUGAUCAACUCUUAUGCAAGUUGGGCAUUCGGAAUCUUCAUGCACCAACUUGAGAGGGGUAUUGGAUACUAAAUAUAGGAAGUUAUAAAUAUAGUAAAUAAUAUAUGUUGUGUAUAAGAUUCAUUGUAGGAAUUAUAGGCUUAAUCUCAAGAUUUUUUAUUAGAAAGGUAGGGUUUCUUUUGGUUCACACUCUUAUAUAUAUUGAUGAGUUUUGCAAUGAUAAAGGGGGGACCUUCUCUCAACUUUUACCUAUUAUAUUCUUUGUUUUUAGCAAAAAUAAAUAAGAACAAGACUAAUAUAUUUUGUUAAGGAACUCCAAAACAGAAUUUCAUAAACAUUCUUUUUUCAACCUUAACUUACCUCUCAAAAUAAAAUUCUCAAACAAACUCCCAACCACACUGUAAUUCCCAUAAGAAUAUAUAUAUAUAUAUAAUACCUCUCUUCCAUUUCGAAGCUUGAACCUAUUCUCAACACUGUUCUCGUCUAUUUCUGUCUUCUUCUUAACCGCAGUAGACGAAAUCGGAGCUUCCACCCCUUGUUUGGUAAGAGCGACACCAUCAAGAAAUCCACGGACCUCUCCUUCUUCCUCUGCCUUUCUUGUGAGACCUUCUCUGGCAUCUGUAACUGAGCUUUGUGGAGAAACGAUGUCGGGAAACGCAACCUGGAGGUCUUGUUGAGCAACUCGAGAGAUGAAUUUCAACGGGCCGCCAUUGCUGUAA
rnacentral:lncRNA from 1 species